rnacentral:rRNA from 1 species
UUUUUAACAGCUGCGGCNUUUUUAACUGUACUAAGGUAGCAUAAUAAUUUGCCUUAUAAUUUGAGGCUAGAAUGAAUGGUUUGACGAAGGUUUAUCUGUCUCUAUUUUAUUUUGUAGAAUUUAAUUUUUAUAGUGAGAAAGCUUAAAUAUAUAAAAGGGACGAGAAGACCCUAAUGAGCUUUAAUUUAAUAAUAUUUAAUAUAAAAUUAAAUAUAUAUAUAUAAAUUUUAAUUGGGGUGAUUAAGGAAUAAUUUAUUUAAAAGUAACUUCCUUAAAAAUAAGUUUGUUAGAUUAAUUAACCAAUAUUUAUUGCUUAUAAUAGAGUUACCAUAGGGAUAACAGCGUAAUUUAUUUAGAGAGUUCUUAUUGAAAUAUAAGUUUGCGACCUCGAUGUUGGAUUAAAGUAACCUUAAGGUGCAGAAGCUUUAAUAGGUAAAUCUGUUCGAUUUUU